rnacentral:rRNA from 1 species
CAGAGGGUGCGAGCGUUAAUCGGAAUUACUGGGCGUAAAGCGUGCGUAGACGGUUAUUUAAGUCGGGUGUGAAAGCCCCGGGCUCAACCUGGGAACUGCAUUCGAGACUGAAUAGCUAGGGUACGGUAGAGGGAAGCGGAAUUUCCGGUGUAGCGGUGAAAUGCGUAGAUAUCGGAAGGAACAUCAGUGGCGAAAGCGGCUUCCUGGACCAGUACCGACGGUUCAGGCACGAAAGCGUGGGGAGCAAACAGGAUUAGAUACCCUGGUAGUCCACGCCAUAAACGAUGAGGACUAGACGUUGGAGGGGUAAGCCUUUCAGUGUCGUAGGCUAACGCGCUAAGUCCUCCGCCUGGGGAGUACGGCCGCAAGGUUG